AAAGUCUGAUGGAGCACGCCGCGUGAGUGAAGAAGGGUUUCGGCUCGUAAAACUCUGUUGUUGAAGAAGAACAUAUCUGAGAGUAACUGUUCAGGUAUUGACGGUAUUUAACCAGAAAGCCACGGCUAACUACGUGCCAGCAGCCGCGGUAAUACGUAGGUGGCAAGCGUUGUCCGGAUUUAUUGGGCGUAAAGCGAGCGCAGGCGGUUUUUUAAGUCUGAUGUGAAAGCCUUCGGCUCAACCGAAGAAGUGCAUCGGAAACUGGGAAACUUGAGUGCAGAAGAGGACAGUGGAACUCCAUGUGUAGCGGUGAAAUGCGUAGAUAUAUGGAAGAACACCAGUGGCGAAGGCGGCUGUCUGGUCUGUAACUGACGCUGAGGCUCGAAAGUAUGGGUAGCAAACAGGAUUAGAUACCCCCAGUAGUCAA
rnacentral:rRNA from 1 species